UUUUGGGUGAGGGAUAGAAGCGAAAAGCCCACAGGCAUUGAGCUUUUGCGAAAGUGACGAGGACUUGUAGCGGAUAGCCCGACCAAGC
rnacentral:misc_RNA from 1 species